GUGAAAUCAAACACUCUCUAAGUUUGAUGAUGAGAAUUAAUCAAUUAAAAAAAAAUACAUUAUUUUUAUUGAAUUUAAUAAGAUUGAAGUAAAUUAGUGGAUUAGACUUAGACCUAAAAUAUCAGAAGCCUAAUUAAACAUGAUCCAACCAAUAUAUUGAACAUGUCCAUUCACUAAGCAGUACCCAAAAGUUAAACCAAUUAUUCUCGAGUAUUAUUAACCAUAUUUGUAGGUACAUAGAUGUGAAUCUCUAGGAAAAAGACUUGACUAUAAUUUACUAGUAAUUAACUAUAAUCUCUAAGGAAGGAGGAAAAGUUUCACAUCAUUGAUUAAGCAAAGUUGUUCUGCAAGAGACAAAUCCAAGAGCACACAGAUUGCUUAUGAUACUUCUCCUCUUGGAAACCCACAUGUGAGCACAUGGGAAAUUUAUUAGGAGUAGGACAAC
rnacentral:misc_RNA from 1 species